CCGCGCGUCCUCUCAGAAACCCACCCCAUGCUGCAGACAUGAACCCAGAAGGUUGGGAACACAAACAGACGCACGGCGACACAGAUGAACAGAUGGAGAGAGAGGGAGAGAUGCAGAGAGAUGUGACUAUUUAUUGAGGUUCUGCAGGGAUACAGCCGAUGGAACUAUAGCUGCACUUCACAGCACUGCAUGCUCUACACUUCUAGACGAAAGAGGAAGUGAUGACGUGAAACAAGCUGCCAGUGCCACUGAUUGAUUACUCCACAACUAAUUUCUCUUGCUGGGAGCCACUACAUCUGGAGCUGAGUGCACACACUUCGGAGGCCGUCACCUGUCAAUCAUUCCUAUAAUUGAUGAUUCGGCCAAUCUUGUGUCUGCUCAACCCCCUGCAAAGGAAACUUGUACUGUAUCCACUCAGAACAGCCAGCUGCCAGUCAAAGCUACUGUGACACACACUCUUUUCCCAUGCUAGGACAAAAUCAGUCAAUCCUCGUCUCAAAGUGCGUCCAUAUGGAAUCAACCCAGCUGUCAAUCAGACCGCAGGUCAGUACAGCCCAAAGAUCUAAGCAGAUGGAACCAGCCAAAACCUGUUGUUUUUCCUUUUUCUCUCUAAGAUGACUGAAUCUAUGAGGUAGUGUCUUUUACUGCACCUCCAGGCUGUUGAAUGCGUUUGAAGAAGGUCGAAUGAAAUCACAAUAGAGAUGAUACUCAUGUAAUGUUACAGAAUGAAGGCUGAGGUUGCUAGCGCAGCAAGACGGAGGCGUCCCUGAAGAUCCCGGACUCUUAAUUAUGGUGAAAUAAUCGGUGCAUGCAGCAUAGCCUCGGGCUGCCAGCCCCAGAGGUGAGCUCUACACAAGCACAUAGAGAACACAGAGCAGAGAAGAUACUGGUACUGCUUUGAAAACGCUGUGUAGUCCGGCCAAAGUGAACAGGUUUAGAUUCAUCCUUGACAAAGGUGGCGAUGGUCUGGUUUUAAAGUGUCAUUAUAAAGCGAUAGAAUGUAAUUGGCUAUUUAGUACAGAUGUGUUCUCUUUCUUUUUGGUCAGUUGAACAUGUUAAUGCUUGUGGUUGCUUUGUUUGACAACUGUGAAAACUUAAGGAGGACUGACUUCACCUUGGCACCAGUUGCUUCAAAGUCGUUGAAGAAGUUAUGUUUGCCUGUCCCAUGUGGGUCAAUGUUUUACAUCUAAUGCAAUAGCAUUGAAUUGUUUGUAAUGUUAUUGGAUAUUAACAAUCCAACACGAAUGGCUUACCAAUUCAGUAUAUAAAAGAGGGAGAAAAGUGUUUUCAAGGGAUAGUUCACUCAAAAAUGCUGUCAAACUUAUGUUAUUCCAAACUAACUUUCUUCUGCGAAAACAUAUUUGGAAGAA